rnacentral:lncRNA from 10 species
GUGCUGGUGAAUAGGUGUAAUUUUAGCCCAUAUAUAUUGAUAUUGUACUCAGCAAGCUUAUCAAAUUUGUGUUAUUUCAAAAGUUUUCCUGUUGAUUUUUAAAUUAUCUAGGUGGAAUUACUACUAUUAGUAUAUAAUUUCUUUAAAUUUCCAUCCAAAUUUCUAUGUAACAAUAUUUUUGUCAAAGUGUAUUAGUUAAAUGACCUAACGAAAUUGUCAAUAAACAAGUAUCUUUGUCUUAAUCUUGAUUAAAUGAAAAGCUCUAUGUUACACUAAUAACUAUGCUUCUGUAUUUGUUUAGUAGACAUACAAGUUAUUAAAUGUUGCUUCUAUUUAAACUUGGUUUGGGUAUUUAUCUUGAUUAGGAGUUAAAUUAGAUUAAACAUUUUUGCAACAUCUGUUGAGAUAAUUUUAUGUAAAUUAAAAUUAUUUACUUUCUAGUUUUAAAUUAUCUUCAAAUUCUUAGAAUGAAUCUUUUCAUUUGUAAUAUAUUUUAAGUAUAUAUUAUGAGACUAAUUUACUUUUACACUUUUUUUUAGCAGUUUUGUGCCUGUAUCUAAUUGCCUACCUUCUCAUUAUUUGCUGUCCUCUACUGUUUUUACUCACUUUGAGAAUAAUUUUUUAACUUCUUAAAAUAAAUGAGAAUAAAACAUUUAGGUUCACUGAAGUAGUUUGGAGAAGGUAAAAAUUAUGACAUUUUUAAACUUAGUAAAAGUUUUUUAUAAAUCCAUCUGAAUUUGAUAUCUUGUGUAUAUUUUGAUAGUCCAUUCAAAAUCUUUGAAAUUGUUGAUUUAUUAAAGUUUUUUACUACUAAUAUAAAUUUUUGUUAACCUAUGCUUUUUAAAAACUUGGCAAUUUCAACUGAGUUUUUAAAUUUUGGAAUAAAAUUAUUUAGAACUUUGAUUAUAUAAAGCUCUGCUAUUUAGUAUUUUCUACAUUUCAUCAAUUUUUCUGCUUCUCGUAUUUCUUGAUCAGUACCAUCAGACUUUUGAAUUUCCUAAUCUUUAAAAGAUUUUGGUUGUACUACCAUUGUCUAUUAUAUUUUGAUUUUCUAUUUAUUUAUUCAUUCAUUUAUUUAUUUACUACUUUGAUUUUGGUUGACAUCCAAAAGCAUAAUUACUGCCCUUCAGACAAAUUCUAACUUUUCCUUUUGCUGAGUCUAUGACUUGGGAAAUUUACUUAACCUUGCUAUCCCUUGGAUUUUUGUUUGUUUAGUUUUUGAGACAAGGUCUCACGCUGUCACCCGGGGCUGGAGUGCAGUGGUGCGAUCUUGGCUCACUGUAGUUUUGACCUCGCAGGCUCAAGUGAUCCUUCCACCUCAGCCUCCCUAGUAGCUGGGACUACAAAGGUGCACCACCAUACCCGGCUAAUUUUUGUAUUGUUUGUAGAGGGCAGUGGGGUCUCACCAUAUUGCCCAGGCUUGUCUCGAACUCCUGAACUCAAGCAUCCACCUGUCUUGACCUCCCAAUGUUCGGGGAUUACAGGCAGGUGCCACAGCACCCUGUCAUGCCUCUGAUUCUUUAAAAACCAAAGGGAAUGAGACUGUUUUUAGGAAUAAAUAUAAAAUAAAUAGCACACCUAAACCACCUAGAACAGUACCAUGUACUAAGUAAGCGCAAGGUACAUAUUAGCUCCUUCUUAACUUAUUCACCCUUCUUUAAAUUUUUCUGUUGUUCAUUUUUCUUAACUGAAGGUGAAUAUGUGCCUCAUUCAUCUGGAAAACUUUUUUAUAAAACAUGUACUAAUGGAUAUGGAUUCUUAGCUUUAGCCGGUUUUUUCAUUUUGAUUGUGAAAAGCUUUUUCGUUGCUGAGUUCUAAACAUUUAUCUUUUAUGUAGAAAUGUUCAUCUUUUUCUCAGUUAUAGAGAAUAGUUCAAUUUUCAAACUUUUUUGAUUGAUUUAACAUUUUACUACUUUACAUUCUACGUAAUACUUAUUCCAUGGAAUCUGUUCUUUGUUAUAGUGUACAUGGUUUAGGUGUGUAAAUGUUUCAUGUGUAUUUGAAUGUUUGUGUCCAGAUUUCUGUCAAGUACAGAUUUCUACAUAAAAGUAUUGAAUUAAUUUUUGCUAAUUGCAUUCUUAAAAUAUUCCAUAUCAUUCUUUCUUCUGCUUGAUAUGGCAGUUUAUUAAGUGUGUCUUACAUUCUUAUUAUUUGUGGAUUCUUCAGUUUCUGUUUGUGAGGCUUCUGCUUUAUCUAUUUACGUAAUGCAUUGUUAGGUAUGUCCAAAUUCAUGAUUAUUGCAUCUUUUCCAUGAAUUUUUUCUUUUUCUUUUUUU